rnacentral:lncRNA from 1 species
AGACCAAAUGGAAAAUCAAACCAAAGAACAAAUCGAGUUGGAGUCGAAUGUGGAGAGAGAAUGUUCAGAGAGGCUCAAAAUAACUUCAUUGCAAUAUAUUACAAUAAUUUUUUUGAUGAGAAAUAAAUUAAUUUAGAAUUUUGUUUGAAAAUAAAAGUAAAAAAACUCGAUUUUCAUUGAAUCAUAUUUGCUAUUGUUUAAAAUUGGCUC